rnacentral:rRNA from 1 species
UACAGGGGGGGCAAGCGUUGUUCGGAAUUACUGGGCGUAAAGGGCUCGUAGGCGGCCAACUAAGUCCGACGUGAAAUCCCAAAGCUUAACUUUGGAACUGCGUCGGAUACUGGAUGGCUUGAAUUCGGGAGAGGGAUGCAGAAUUCCAGGUGUAGCGGUGAAAUGCGUAGAUAUCUGGAGGAAUACCGGUGGCGAAGGCAGAUCUCUGGGCCGUAACUGACGCUGAGGAGCGAAAGCGUGGGGAGCGAACAGG